UCAAGCGUAUACGGGCACACGAUGGAUGCCUUGGCACCAGCAGGCGAUGAAGGACGCGGCUUGCUGCGAUAUGCCCCGGGGAGCCGCGAGCAGGCUUUGAUCCGGGGAUCUCCGAAUGGGGAAACCCGAUGGGCGUCUGGCCCAUCACCGCGCGCUGAAUACAUAGGCGCGCGGAGCGACACCGGGGGAAGUGAAACAUCUCAGUACCCCGAGGAGCAGAAAUCAACACGAGAUUCCGCGAGUAGUGGCGAGCGAAACCGGAAGAGGCCAAACCACGGGGCUUGCCCCGUGGGGUUGCGGGAGCGCGAUGUGGCAUCGCCUCUGCAUAGUCGAACGGUCUGGAAAGUCCGGCCAGAGCGGGUGAAAGCCCCGUAGACGAAAUGCAGUGGCGGCCUAGCGAAUUCCCAAGUAGGACGGGACACGUGAAACCCCGUCCGAAUCCGGGGGGCCCACCCCCCAAGCCUAAAUACUCGCUGGUGACCGAUAGUGAACGAGUACCGUGAGGGAAAGGUGAAAAGAACCGCUGCUAGCGGAGUGAAAGAGACCUGAAAUCGUGUGCCCACAAAGCUGUAGGAGCCCCGCAAGGGGUGACUGCUUGCCUUUUGCAUAAUGAGUCCGCGAGUCACGGUGGGCGGCGAGGUUAACCCCUCCGGGGGGAAGCCGCAGCGAAAGCGAGUCCGAAAUGGGCGCCCGAGUCGUCCGCCGUGGACCCGAAGCCCAGUGAGCUACCCUUGGCCAGGUUGAAGCCUCGGUAACACGAGGUGGAGGACCGAACCGGUGACCGUUGAAAAGGUCUCGGAUGAGCUGAGGGUGGGAGUGAAAGGCUUAACAAACUGGGUGAUAGCUGGUUCUCCUCGAAAUGCCUUUAGGGGCAGCCUUCGCGAUUGCACGCGACGGGGGUAGAGCACUGAAUGGUCUAGGGCCCCUACCGGGGUACCGAAGCCUCUCAAACUCCGAAUACCGUCGCCGUCACGCGGGGAGUGAGACUGUGGGGGCUAAGCUUCAUAGUCGAAAGGGAAACAGCCCAGCCCGCCGGCCAAGGCCCCGAAAUCCGGUUGAGUCACUAAGGAUGUGGAGUCUCGCAGACAGCUAGGAUGUUGGCUUAGAGGCAGCCAUCAUUUAAACAGUGCGUAAUAGCUGACUAGUCGAGAGAUUCCGCGCCGAAAAUGAUCGGGAGUAAACCGGAUGCCGAAGCCGCGGAUCCCCGUAAGGGGGUGGUAGAGGAGCGUUCCGCACGGAUCGAAGCGCAAGGGGAACCGAGCGUGGACUGUGCGGAAGUGACUAUGCGGACAUGAGUAACGAAAAGUGGGGUGAGAAUCCCCACCGCCGGAAUUCCAAGGUUUCCCGGGGCAGGUUCGUCCUCCCGGGGUUAGUCGGUGCCUAAGGCGAGGCCGAAAGGCGUAGUCGAUGGACAACGGGUCAACAUUCCCGUACUGCCGGUGAGAGUUCGAGCGAUGGAGCGAGCAGGAGGCUACCCCCGCGACCUGAUGGAUGGUCGUCCAAGCCCCGAGGGGGCCCGCGCAGGCAAAUCCGCGCGGGCAACCCCGAUGGGUGAUGGUGAGCGCCCCGCGAGGGGCGCGAAGCGGGAGAUGCCCGGCUGCCAAGAAAAACUCCUAGUGAUCGAGCCGGCAACCGUACCUAAACCGACACAGGUGGAAGGGUACUAGUAUACCAAGGCGCGCGAGAGAAACCUCGUUAAGGAACUCGGCAACAUGACCCCGUAACCUAGGGAGAAGGGGUCCCCCGCGAGGGGGCGCAGUGAACGGGCCCAGGCGACUGUUUAACAAAAACACAGCACUCUGCCAACACGCAAGUGGAUGUAUAGAGUGUGACACGUGACCAAUGCCGAAAGGUCAAGGCAAGGGGUCAGCCGCAAGGCGAAGCUCCGAACCAAAGCCCCGGUGAAUGUCGGCCGUAACUAUAACGGUCCUAAGGUAGCGAAAUUCCUUGUCGGGUAAGUUCCGACCUGCACGAAUCGUGUAACGAUCUGGGCGCUGUCUCAACGAGGAUCUCGGUGAAGUUGUAAUGGCGGUGAAAAUGCCGCAUACCCGCAGAAGGACGGAAAGACCCCAUGAACCUUUACUGUAGUCUGGCAGUGGCGUCUGGUCAUCCAUAUGUAGCAUAGCUGGGAGUCUCGGAAGCGGA
rnacentral:rRNA from 1 species